rnacentral:tRNA from 1 species
GGAGGAGUGGCUGAGUGGUCGAAGGCACCGCACUCGAAAUGCGGCGUACCCGAAAGGGUACCGUGAGUUCGAAUCUCACCUCCUCCG